AUGUUUGCAGUACAUCGCCUUAGAGCAUAUGCUGUAUUUGAUUUUAUUAUUCUUCUCAGGGCCAAACCUAGGCCAAGCAAGAAAGCCCGCCUGGACAACGCGGCCGAAGAAGAUGUCGUUCUUGAAGCAGACAAGACACCCAAUGCUGAAGCGGCUAUUCCUGAGGAUAUUCCCAACGAUCCACCGCAGCCAGAUGAUGAUCUUAUUGCUGAAGAGAGACCUACUGAUACCUCAGGUCCUAUCCAUCAGCCCACAGGUUCCAUCCGGAUUGAAAGCUCCACCGGUCCAGCAAAACCUAGUGACAAGCCAACAGCUCCAGUGCAAACCGGCGGUACCAAGGAUGAUGAGGUUGUCAUUACUGGCACUGGCCAUACUGAGCCAAGCAAUCGUGUCGCUUUAUCCAAACAUUCUGCCAAGGAAGAAUUUGCUGCUUUUGGCAAAGGCAAGUGGAACGCUGAUCUGACAACUUACGCUGCUCUGAACGCCCAAGAUAUCCAUUCCAGCUAUCUGAACCGGCUGUAUACCAGCCGUGACUAUGAAGCCGGUCUGGUUAAUAUGAUGAAAGAUAAAUAUGAGGUAACUUCCAUAUGCUCCUUCCUGCUUGUAUGCUUCCAUUCUUGCUGA
rnacentral:rRNA from 1 species